rnacentral:rRNA from 1 species
GGGAAACCCAGUGUGACUCGUCACACUAUCAUUAACUGAAUCCAUAGGUUAAUGAGGCGAACCGGGGGAACUGAAACAUCUAAGUACCCCGAGGAAAAGAAAUCAACCGAGAUUCCCCCAGUAGCGGCGAGCGAACGGGGAGGAGCCCAGAGCCUGAAUCAGCAUGUGUGUUAGUGGAAGCGUCUGGAAAGGCGCGCGAUACAGGGUGACAGCCCCGUACACAAAAGCGCAUGUGCUGUGAGCUCGAUGAGUAGGGCGGGACACGUGGUAUCCUGUCUGAAUAUGGGGGGACCAUCCUCCAAGGCUAAAUACUCCUGACUGACCGAUAGUGAACCAGUACCGUGAGGGAAAGGCGAAAAGAACCCCGGCGAGGGGAGUGAAAAAGAACCUGAAACCGUGUACGUACAAGCAGUGGGAGCACCCUUUGGGUGUGACUGCGUACCUU